rnacentral:rRNA from 1 species
CUGCUGAACACAUAGGCAGUGUGGAGGGAACGAGGGGAAGUGAAACAUCUCAGUACCCUCAGGAAGAGAAAACAACCGUGAUUCCGGGAGUAGUGGCGAGCGAAACUGGAUGAGGCUAAACCGUAUACGUGUGAGACCCGGCAGGGGUUGCGUGUACGGGGUUGUGGGAUCUCUUUUUCAUAGUCUGCCGGCUGUGAGACGAGUCAGAAACCGUUGAUGUAGGCGAAGGACAUGCGAAAGGUCCGGCGUAGAGGGUAAGACCCCCGUAGCUGAAACAUUGACGGCUCGUUUAAGAGACACCCAAGUAGCACGGGGCCCGAGAAAUCCCGUGUGAAUCUGGCGGGACCACCCGCUAAGCCUAAAUAUUCCCUGGUGACCGAUAGCGGAUAGUACCGUGAGGGAAUGGUGAAAAGUACCGCGGGAGCGGAGUGAAAUAGUACCUGAAACCGUGUGCCUACAAGCCGUGGGAGCGUCGGACAUCAAGCUUGCUUGGUGUCUCGUGACUGCGUGCCUUUUGAAGAAUGAGCCUGCGAGUUUGCGGUGUGUUGCGAGGUUAACCCGUGUGGGGAAGCCGUAGCGAAAGCGAGUCCGAAUAGGGCGGUUUAGUAGCGCGCUCAAGACCCGAAGCGGAGUGAUCUAGCCAUGGGCAGGUUGAAGCGGAGGUAAGACUUCGUGGAGGACCGAACCCACCAGGGUUGAAAACCUGGGGGAUGACCUGUGGUUAGGGGUGAAAGGCCAAUCAAACUCCGUGAUAGCUGGUUCUCCCCGAAAUGCAUUUAGGUGCAGCGUCGUGUGUUUCUUGCCGGAGGUAGAGCACUGGAUAGGCGAUGGGCCCUACCGGGUUACUGACCUUAGCCAAACUCCGAAUGCCGGUAAGUGAGAGCGCGGCAGUGAGACUGUGGGGGAUAAGCUCCAUGGUCGAGAGGGAAACAGCCCAGAGCAUCGACUAAGGCCCCUAAGCGUACGCUAAGUGGGAAAGGAUGUGGAGUCGCAGAGACAACCAGGAGGUUGGCUUAGAAGCAGCCACCCUUGAAAGAGUGCGUAAUAGCUCACUGGUCAAGUGAUUCCGCGCCGACAAUGUAGCGGGGCUCAAGCGUACCGCCGAAGUCGUGUCAUU